CAGAGCAGAGAACAAAGGAAUAGUCAGAAAAACAGAGAGGCAAGAAAAAGGCUUAGACUUACAGCAAGAGAGCAUCGCUUUGACACGCUUGGCGUGGACAGAUUCGGUGACUCCAUCCUAGCUAGCUGGCAAAAAAAAGGAAGGGGAGAGAAGAUGAUAAACAUAUUAAAUAGAUUUCCCCCCCCUUUUCCAUGAAAGCAGCCUCUCGUUGAAAGAAGGGGAGUCAGCACUGAAACACUGGUGUCAAAAUUUUCAGAAGAGAGAUAUUCAACAUUCGGGGUGGUUUUUAAAAGGUCAUCCAUGAAUGUCAACAAGUGCAGUAGAGUGAAAUUAUUGCCAAUGUGGCCUCAAAGCAGCAUUGGAUGGAGCCACCUGGGAACAAACAUGCCUCACCUUCUCAUGAUGACCACCUGGGAUGUCUACAUGCUUCGUCUCCUCCCCCAGGUGUCAGAUCAGUAUAUUGGUGCUUGAGCAAGGCAAACCAACGAACCAACAAAACAGUAAACAACACAAGCUGAACAUUCCUUGUGCAAUAGAUGUUCACACUUUCCUCUUUCGUCCAAUACUCCUAUAGGUCAGGAAACACUUGAAGAAUUCAUAGGAGGGGACACAUGGGUACAUCUGGAGGAAGGAGUCUACAAGAAUUGAUGUUAACAUCUAAUUCCAUCAGCUUGCAGAGAAUAAUUUGUCCCCAAGUCCCAAUUAUUGCACCUUUUAUUUCAAUGUAAGAGGACCCACACUGCUGGAAAGACAAACACAUGGAUCUUGUUUUCUCCCUGGAUCUUCAUCUGAGCACUGGAACAAAAGCUGAAACUGAUAGCUAGAUCUGGGUUCAGAUCCUUGAUAUAAACCAUGAAUAGCAUGAUGGUUCUUGUUUCCUCUGUAGAAAAGGUUGAUAGCAUUGAUUUUUUU